rnacentral:rRNA from 1 species
GCAUGGCUGUCGUCAGCUCGUGUCGUGAGAUGUUCGGUUAAGUCCGCUAACGAGCGCAACCCUCGCUGUGUGUUACAAGUGUCACACGGAACUGCCGGUCAUAAACCGGAGGAAGGUGGGAUGACGUCAAGUCAGCAUGGCCUUUAUAUCCUGGGCUACACACACGCUACAAUGGGAAGGGACAAUAGGUUGCGAAGCCGCGAGGCGGAGCCAAUCCAGCAAAACUUCCCUCAGUUCAGAUUGCAGGCUGCAACUCGCCUGCAUGAAGUUGGAGUUGCUAGUAAACGCAGGUCAGCCAUACUGCGUUGAAUACGUUCCCGGGCUU